rnacentral:tRNA from 1 species
GUCCCUGUAGCGCAAUGGAUAGCGUGUUGGACUUCUAACCCAAAGGUCGUGGGUUUGAAUCCCACCUGGGAUG